rnacentral:rRNA from 1 species
UACGUAGGGGGCGAGCGUUGUCCGGAAUCACUGGGCGUAAAGGGCGCGUAGGCGGCUCAUGAAGGCUGUGGUGGAAGUCCGGGGCUCAACCUCGGAUCGGCCGUGGCGACUCGUGGGCUGGAGCACUGUAGAGGCGGGUGGAAUUCCGGGUGUAGCGGUGGAAUGCGUAGAGAUCCGGAAGAACACCAGUGGCGAAGGCGGCCCGCUGGGCAGUGGCUGACGCUGAGGCGCGACAGCGUGGGGAGCAAACAGG